CCACACUAAAGACACCCAGAGUGGAGGAAAAGAGAAGCAGGAGGGUACAUUAGGUAGUUAAACCCCACACUAAAGACACCCAGAGUGGAGGAAAAGAGAAGCAGGAGGGUACAUUAGGUAGUUAAACCCCACACUAAAGACACCCAGAGUGGAGGAAAAGAGAAGCAGGAGGGUACAUUAGGUAGUUAAACCCCACACUAAAGACACCCAGAGUGGAGGAAAAGAGAAGCAGGAGGGUACAUUAGGUAGUUAAACCCCACACUAAAGACACCCAGAGUGGAGGAAAAGAGAAGCAGGAGGGUACAUUAGGUAGUUAAACCCAACACUAAAGACACCCAGAGUGGAGGAAAAGAGAAGCAGGAGGGUACAUUAGGUAGUUAAACCCCACACUAAAGACACCCAGAGUGGAGGAAAAGAGAAGCAGGAGGGUACAUUAGGUAGUUAAACCCCACACUAAAGACAUCCAGAGUGGAGGAAAAGAGAAGCAGGAGGGUACAUUAGGUAGUUAAACCCUACACUAAAGACAUCCAGAGUGGAGGAAAAGAGAAGCAGGAGGGUACAUUAGGUAGUUAAACCCCACACUAAAGACACCCAGAGUGGAGGAAAAGAGAAGCAGGAGGGUACAUUAGGUAGUUAAACCCCACACUAAAGACACCCAGAGUGGAGGAAAAGAGAAGCAGGAGGGUACAUUAGGUAGUUAAACCCCACACUAAAGACACCCAGAGUGGAGGAAAAGAGAAGCAGGAGGGUACAUUAGGUAGUUAAACCCCACACUAAAGACACCCAGAGUGGAGGAAAAGAGAAGCAGGAGGGUACAUUAGGUAGUUAAACCCCACACUAAAGACUCCCAGAGUGGAGGAAAAGAGAAGCAGGAGGGUACAUUAGGUAGUUAAACCCCACACUAAAGACACCCAGAGUGGAGGAAAAGAGAAGCAGGAGGGUACAUUAGGUAGUUAAACCCCACACUAAAGACUCCCAGAGUGGAGGAAAAGAGAAGCAGGAGGGUACAUUAGGUAGUUAAACCCCACACUAAAGACACCCAGAGUGGAGGAAAAUAGAAGCAGGAGGGUACAUUAGGUAGUUAAACCCCACACUAAAGACAUCCAGAGUGGAGGAAAAGAGAAGCAGGAGGGUACAUUAGGUAGUUAAACCCCACACUAAAGACUCCCAGAGUGGAGGAAAAGAGAAGCAGGAGGGUACAUUAGGUAGUUAAACCCCACACUAAAGACACCCAGAGUGGAGGAAAAGAGAAGCAGGAGGGUACAUUAGGUAGUUAAACCCCACACUAAAGACUCCCAGAGUGGAGGAAAAGAGAAGCAGGAGGGUACAUUAGGUAGUUAAACCCCACACUAAAGACACCCAGAGUGGAGGAAAAGAGAUGCAGGAGGGUACAUUAGGUAGUUAAACCCCACACUAAAGACACCCAGAGUGGAGGAAAAGAGAAGCAGGAGGGUACAUUAGGUAGUUAAACCCCACACUAAAGACACCCAGAGUGGAGGAAAAGAGAAGCAGGAGGGUACAUUAGGUAGUUAAACCCCACACUAAAGACAUCCAGAGUGGAGGAAAAGAGAAGCAGGAGGGUACAUUAGGUAGUUAAACCCCACACUAAAGACACCCAGAGUGGAGGAAAAGAGAAGCAGGAGGGUACAUUAGGUAGUUAAACCCCACACUAAAGACAUCCAGAGUGGAGGAAAAGAGAAGCAGGAGGGUACAUUAGGUAGUUAAACCCCACACUAAAGACUCCCAGAGUGGAGGAAAAGAGAAGCAGGAGGGUACAUUAGGUAGUUAAACCCCACACUAAAGACACCCAGAGUGGAGGAAAAGAGAAGCAGGAGGGUACAUUAGGUAGUUAAACCCCACACUAAAGACACCCAGAGUGGAGGAAAAGAGAAGCAGGAGGGUACAUUAGGUAGUUAAACCCCACACUAAAGACUCCCAGAGUGGAGGAAAAGAGAAGCAGGAGGGUACAUUAGGUAGUUAAACCCCACACUAAAGACUCCCAGAGUGGAGGAAAAGAGAAGCAGGAGGGUACAUUAGGUAGUUAAACCCCACACUAAAGACUCCCAGAGUGGAGGAAAAGAGAAGCAGGAGGGUACAUUAGGUAGUUAAACCCCACACUAAAGACACCCAGAGUGGAGGAAAAGAGAAGCAGGAGGGUACAUUAGGUAGUUAAACCCCACACUAAAGACACCCAGAGUGGAGGAAAAGAGAAGCAGGAGGGUACAUUAGGUAGUUAAACCCCACACUAAAGACACCCAGAGUGGAGGAAAAGAAAAGCUCUAUAGCCCACUCUUCAGGGCUGAUGGAGCAGUCUCGGCUGUGUCCUAGGUGCUUCUCUCUCGCUCUCCCGCUUUCAGAAAAGUGGAGAUGUAAACGAGUGCUGGGAGGGAGAGGGGUGGCUGUCAGGAGAGAGAGAACGGUGGCUGUCAGGGCCCCCCCUGCAUGAUGAGUGUAGGAUGAAGGCAAGGCAGGCCAUUUUAUUUUCUCCUCUUUCAUCUCCAGGCCUUGCAUUUAAUCUCCUAAGUGCUGCUGCUGCCUAGGCGUCUCUGUGUGUCUCUCUGUGUGUGCGCACCAGGCUCUGCCCUGGCUCUUACCCAGUGUUCUUUUUGACGGCUAGUUAUUUCACCUUGGCAGAGUCGCAAAACACUUGCCACGCC